rnacentral:lncRNA from 1 species
UUAUUGCAAGCCAACAAUGGCUUUAAUGCAUGGUAUACGAAGAUCAAGCUCUUCAGCCCUCUUGCAUCUGCUUCAGACAUUUCUCCUCUGUAACAAUGCAAACACUACAACUCAUAGAAAGCUUCAAACGCUCUUGAUCAAGACUGUUCGAAGCAAAUUCAAUUUAUAUGGUUCAUCCAAACCUUCGACUACUACAAGAGGUGGCUUGCAUCACAAUCUCUCGCUUAAUAGUAUGGAACCAAAAUUUGUAUACGUUGUCUCUCCCACAUUUUCAAAUUUCUAGUUUUCCCAAAAAAAAAAAAAAAAUAAAAAAAAAAAAAAUAAAGAGGAAAUUGGAAAUUGGGAAAUUCAACAAAGCUUCAUCAAUGGAACACAACUACAAAUCUCAAAAGCUUCGUACUAUGUUCAUCAAGAUAGUGCGAAGCAUAAUCAUUUUAUGGUGCCAACAAAAGUUUCAUCAAUGGAGGACAAGUAUCAAUCUCCAAAGCUUCGCACUAUGUUCAUCAAGAUAGUGCGAAGCAUAAUCAAUUUAUGGUGCCAACAAAAGCUUCAUCAAUGGAGGACAAGUAUCAAUCUCUAAAGCUUCGCACUAUGUUCAUCAAGAUAGUGCGAAGCAUAAUCAAUUUAUGGUGCCAACAAAAGCUUCAUCAAUGGAGGACAAAUAUCAAUCUCAAAAGCUUCGCACUAUGU